CCCAGACUCCUACGGGAGGCAGCAGUGAGGCCUCUUUGUCAAUGGCCGCUCGGCUGAACCAGCCCAGUCGCGUUCGUGCAGACGGCCCUCCGGGUUGUAACCCUCUUUUGUCGGGGCGCACAGCGAGUCCCGUGUGACUCAUUGAGAGUACCCGAAGAAAAAGCAUCGGCUACCUCCGUGCCAGCAGCCGCGGUAAUACGGAGGAUGCGAGCGUUAUCCGGAUUUAUUGGGUUUAAAGGGUGCGCAGGCGGAGGUGCAAGUCAGCGGUCAAAUUGCGGGGCUCAACCCCGUACUGCCGUUGAAACUGCAUCCCUUGAGUGCGCGAGAAGUAUGCGGAAUGCGUGGUGUAGCGGUGAAAUGCAUAGAUAUCACGCAGAACUCCGAUUGCGGAGGCAGCAUACCGGCACGCAACUGACGCUCAUGCACGAAAGCGUGGGUAUCGAACAGGAUUAGAUACCCUAGUAU
rnacentral:rRNA from 1 species